rnacentral:tRNA from 1 species
GGCCAAAUGGUCUAGUGGUAUGAUUCUUGCUUUGGGUUGCGUUGAUGUGCUCAACUGCAAGAGGUCCCGUGUUCAAUCCACGGUUUGGCCC